rnacentral:rRNA from 1 species
UACGUAGGGGGCAAGCGUUGUCCGGAAUCAUUGGGCGUAAAGAGCGUGUAGGCGGCUCGAUAAGUCUGCUGUGAAAGUCCAGGGCUCAACCCUGGAAGGCCGGUGGAAACUGUCGGGCUAGAGUCCGGAAGAGGCGAGUGGAAUUCCCGGUGUAGCGGUGAAAUGCGCAGAUAUCGGGAGGAACACCAAUUGCGAAGGCAGCUCGCUGGGACGUGACUGACGCUGAGACGCGAAAGCUGGGGGAGCAAACGGGG